UGAAGACUUCUGGAGGUGGGUCUGGGAAC
rnacentral:piRNA from 1 species